rnacentral:rRNA from 1 species
UACGUAGGGUGCAGGCGUUAAUCGGAAUUACUGGGCGUAAAGCGUGCGCAGGCGGUUUGUUAAGACAGAUGUGAAAUCCCCGGGCUUAACCUGGGAACUGCGUUUGUAACUGGCAAGCUAGAGUGUGGCAGAGGGGGGUGGAAUUCCAAGUGUAGCAGUGAAAUGCGUAGAUAUUUGGAGGAACACCAAUGGCGGAGGCAGCCCCCUGGGUUAACACUGACGCUCAUGCACGAAAGCGUGGGGAGCAAACAGG